ACACAGCUGAAGAGUCCCAGGUAGGACGAAACACACGUCCUGGAU
rfam:Schistosoma haematobium scaffold972_5, whole genome shotgun sequence.